rnacentral:rRNA from 1 species
CCUACGGGUGGCAGCAGUGAGGAAUAUUGGUCAAUGGGCGUAAGCCUGAACCAGCCAAGUCGCGUGAGGGAUGACGGUUCUAUGGAUCGUAAACCUCUUUUAUCAGGGAAUAAAGUGUGGGACGUUCCCUGUUUUGUAUGUACCUUAUGAAUAAGGAUCGGCUAAAUCCGUGCCAGCACCCGCGGUAAUACGGGGGAUCCGAGCGUUAUCCGGAUUUAUUGGGUUUAAAGGGUCCGUAGGCGGGCUUUUAAGUCAGCGGUAAAAGCCCGGGGCUCAACCCCGGCGAGCCGUUGAAACUGGCUGUCUUGAGAGGGCGAGAGGUAUGCGGAAUGCGCAGUGUAGCGGUGAAAUGCUUAGAUAUUGCGCAGAACUCCGAUUGCGAAGGCAGCAUACCGGCGGCGAUCUGACGCUGAGGCACGAAAGCGUGGGUAUCGAACAGGAUUAGAUACCCUAGUAGUC